rnacentral:rRNA from 1 species
CAGUCGCCGCGGGAAUACGAAGGGUGCAAGCGUUAAUCGGAAUUACUGGGCGUAAAGCGUGCGUAGGCGGUUUGUUAAGUCUGCUGUGAAAUCCCCGGGCUCAACCUGGGAAUGGCAGUGGAUACUGGCAAGCUAGAGUGUGUCAGAGGAUGGUGGAAUUCCCGGUGUAGCGGUGAAAUGCGUAGAGAUCGGGAGGAACAUCAGUGGCGAAGGCGGCCAUCUGGGACAACACUGACGCUGAGGCACGGAAGCGUGGGGAGCAAACAGGAUUAGAUACCCGGGUAGUCCCUGUCUCUUAUAA